rnacentral:rRNA from 1 species
AUUGAACGCUGGCGGCAGGCCUAACACAUGCAAGUCGAGCGGAUGAGAAGAGCUUGCUCUUCGAGUUAGCGGCGGACGGGUGAGUAAUGCCUAGGAAUCUGCCUGGUAGUGGGGGACAACGUUUCGAAAGGAACGCUAAUACCGCAUACGUCCUACGGGAGAAAGCAGGGGACCUUCGGGCCUUGCGCUAUCAGAUGAGCCUAGGUCGGAUUAGCUAGUUGGUGAGGUAAUGGCUCACCAAGGCGACGAUCCGUAACUGGUCUGAGAGGAUGAUCGGUCACACGGGAACUGAGAGACGGUCCAGACGCCUCCGGGAGGCAGCAGUGGGGAAUAUUGGACAAUGGGCGAAGGCCUGAUCCAGCCAUGCCGCGUGUGUGAAGAAGGUCUUCGGAUUGUAAAGCACUUUAAGUUGGGAGGAAGGGCAGUAAGCGAAUACCUUGCUGUUUUGACGUUACCAACAGAAUAAGCACCGGCUAACUCUGUGCCAGCCGCCGCGGUAAGAC